rnacentral:lncRNA from 1 species
CCAGAUCAUCUGCUUAGAACAAAUGUGGCUGGACAAUGUGAUAUUCUAAUUCCACAGAUUGAGUAAUUCAAGAAUUUCAGAGAUGCAACAAGGACGGAAUUACUGUCCUCAUUCUAGCUUUAGAAGGCAGGCAUGCAAGUACCUAGAGAAAGAGAACAGAUGAAAGCUGGCAGCCUCUUCAUUUACAGACAGUACAAUUUUCUGAAUUUAGCAAGACUCUUCCUUUCCCCCAAGAACGCUCUAUGGAGAAAACAAAGAAGAAAAUGUAAAGCUACAAACGACUAUUCAAAUGAUCUUGUAACCUACACCCAUUGGACAAAAGCAAAAUAA